rnacentral:rRNA from 1 species
UACGUAGGUGGCAAGCGUUGUUCGGAAUUAUUGGGCGUAAAGGGCGCGUAGGCGGUUUGCUAAGUCAGUUGUGAAAGCCCGGGGCUCAACCCCCGGAGGGUCGGCUGAUACUGGUGGACUAGAGUACGGAAGAGGUAGCUGGAAUUCCCGGUGUAGCGGUGAAAUGCGCAGAUAUUAGGAGGAACACCCGUAGCGAAGGCGGCACUCUGGGCCGAUACUGACACUGAGGAGCGAAGGCGUGGGGAGCGAACGGG